ACUACAUACCCCAGAGGACUUUGUGUUCAGAGAAGAGAGGAAAUCCCUGGCAAAGUCACAGGACUGGGCUCUCCUCCCUUCUGCCCAUCCCAACCACAUGUCUUGCCUCGGCAUUAUAACUUGGACAAAUUAUUCUUCAGCUAUUGCAUUUCUCCUAUGAAUUGCAAGGGAAAUGGCCCAAGAAGCAGCUUCCCUACUUCAGACAUCUACAUCCAUGCUGAAGAGACAAGGAGGCAGACAGUGAAAACCAAGAAGAAAAGGUUGUGGCACUCAGGGGAUGUGGGAUCAGAGGAAGGCUGAUGCUUCAUCCUGGAAGUCUCACUAUUUCUAUGGAACAUAUAAUUCAUUUUUCCUAAUGGAUGACCAAUUUGACCACUAGCUGUAACAAAGCCCUUUUCUUCUGGAGAACUGAAUCCACUACUUAAGCCCUACUGUAGUGAGUUGAAUCAGAAUAGCUGGAUUUUCAGGGGCCUAGCAACAAAGUUGCUUGAAUGAGGGUGCCUGAUGAAAUCAAUAAGUUACCUUUACAGAGGAAUGCGAGUGUGGAUGAAUGCGGAUGGACCCACAUGAAACUUACUGAAGUUCUUCCACAGUAGAAAUCACACAAGGACUGGUCAGCACAAAAACGUAAAUAACAGUAAUAAUUGUUCAACAAGCUUUUUCAUCAAUGAGGA